rnacentral:rRNA from 1 species
AGCUUACACAUGCAGUCGAACGGCAGCACGGACUUCGGUCUGGUGGCGAGUGGCGAACGGGUGAGUAAUGUAUCGGAACGUGCCCAGUAGCGGGGGAUAACUACGCGAAAGCGUAGCUAAUACCGCAUACGCCCUACGAGGGAAAGCAGGGGAUCGCAAGACCUUGCACUAUUGGAGCGGCCGAUAUCGGAUUAGCUAGUUGGUGGGGUAACGGCUCACCAAGGCGACGAUCCGUAGCUGGUUUGAGAGGACGACCAGCCACACUGGGACUGAGACACGGCCCAGACCCCUACGGGAGGCAGCAGUGGGGAAUUUUGGACAAUGGGGGAAACCCUGAUCCAGCCAUCCCGCGUGUGCGAUGAAGGCCUUCGGGUUGUAAAGCACUUUUGGCAGGAAAGAAACGUCGUGGGUUAAUACCCCGCGAAACUGACGGUACCUGCAGAAUAAGCACCGGCUAACUACGUGCCAGCAGCCGCGGUAAUACGUAGGGUGCAAGCGUUAAUCGGAAUUACUGGCCGUAAAGCGUGCGCAGGCGGUUCGGAAAGAAAGAUGUGAAAUCCCAGAGCUUAACUUUGGAACUGCAUUUUUAACUACCGAGCUAGAGUGUGUCAGAGGGAGGUGGAAUC